rnacentral:rRNA from 1 species
GAUGAACGCUAGCGGCAGGCCUAACACAUGCAAGUCGAGGGGCAGCACGUCUUCGGAUGGUGGCGGCCGGCGCACGGGUGCGUAACGCGUAUGCAACCUACCUCUUACAGUGGGAUAGCCCAGAGAAAUUUGGAUUAAUACCGNAUAGUAUACAGAUUCAGCAUUGGGACUGUAUUAAACNUUUANGGGUAANAGAUGGGCAUGCGUUCUAUUAGUUAGUUGGAGUGGUAACGGCACCCCAAGACAGCGAUAGAUAGGGGCCCUGAGAGGGGGAUCCCCCGANACUGGUACUGAGACACGGACCAGACUCCUA